UAACUGAAGAGUUUGAUCAUGGCUCAGAUUGAACGCUGGCGGCAGGCUUAACACAUGCAAGUCGAGCGGAGAGAGGUAGCUUGCUACUGAUCUUAGCGGCGGACGGGUGAGUAAUGCUUAGGAAUCUGCCUAUUAGUGGGGGACAACAUUUCGAAAGGA
rnacentral:rRNA from 1 species